rnacentral:rRNA from 1 species
UACGGAGGGGGCAAGCGUUGUUCGGAUUUACUGGGCGUAAAGGGAGCGUAGGCGGUUGAUCAAGUCCGGUGUGAAAGCUUCACCACUCAACGGGAAGAGGUCACUGGAAACUGGUCGGCUAGAGUAAGGUAGAGGCAAGCGGAAUUCCUGGUGUAGCGGUGGAAUGUGUAGAUAUCAGGAAGAACAUCUGUGGCGAAGGCGGCUUGCUGGGCCUUUACUGACGCUGAGGCUCGAAAGCGUGGGGAGCAAACGGG